CUCCUUUCGGGUCUGUGAGACCACGCCAGUGUUGACGUGAGCCCCGAGUCCUUCAAGUUUCGCGGAGUCCCCUGAAGGAGAAGUUCAGGUGCAUGAUUGAUAACUGUGAAGAUGGCAGACUGAAAAAAGGCCUACAGUUGGAAGCAGCUAUUCUGCUCUUGCCUUCUCUGUUCAAGGAAGACCCGGCGUUGCUGUUUGAAGUUGAGGGCUAUUCUCAGACCAGCCCAUCCCAACACCUAAGAUGAAGCUUACAGGCUGUAGGGAGGGUCAUCUUGUGCAGUAUGACCACAUUGUGCUCACGUUGGACGGACAGUUAAUCACAGAGGAGAGCGAGGACAUCUCGACGGCACUGGGACUCCUCCUGUAGCAGCAGUUCUCAAUUCCAGUCCUGGCGACCUGCCCCUACAUGUUGUACAUGUCUCACUUAUUUAACACACCUGAUUCAGAUCAUGAGCUUGUUAGAAAAGAGCUCCAUGAAUGAACUGUGCUCUGACUGACAUGGUCCCUCCCUACACAGGAUCCCUACACGGAACAUUCAUUUACAGAUUUACACUACUUCCUGUCACUGUAAAUCAAUAUUCUCUAUUUCUGCGCCUCUUCCAAGUCUAGUUGCAGUUUCCAUUGUUUUUUUAAGUUAAACAAGAAGGUUAGUACGUUGUUGACAGUGAAAAAGUGAAAGCUACUGCAGUACUUUAGAGUGUACAACUUAGUUUGCAAGUGGUUGUGUAUUAUUAAUUUUCAGUAAUUUCACUCACUCACUAUUAAUGUUAAAAAAAACCUAGAUUUUCCAAAUAAAGUAAAGAACUAAUGUAGGCCUAAGACCGUAGGUGAAAAAGUUACCUGAUUACAGGGCUACAGUACAUAUAUUCUUCAAAAAUGUACAUAUUUCAAGCUUGUUGCAUUAUUUUGUAUGUGUAUAAAACAACAACUCCCUGUAUAUUUGUCAGGAGUACACAGAGACGAAGGAGCGAGGAGACAAGGGAAUCUUCCAAUCGAAAAAUUCAUCAAAAGUCUUUAUUCAUCAAAAGUGCCCAGAAGCAUCAAAUUGGGUGAAGGCAUAUAACAGCAGACAGGAAACAUGGGGCAGAACACACUAUAAAUCACAGUAGCCCCUC